rnacentral:rRNA from 1 species
UACGUAGGGCGCAAGCGUUAUCCGGAAUUAUUGGGCGUAAAGGGCUCGUAGGCGGCCAACUAAGUCGGAUGUGAAAUCCCCAGGCUUAACCUGGGAACUGCAUCCGAUACUGGAUGGCUUGAAUCCGGGAGAGGGAUGCAGAAUUCCAGGUGUAGCGGUGAAAUGCGUAGAUAUCUGGAGGAAUACCGGUGGCGAAGGCGGCAUCCUGGACCGGCAUUGACGCUGAGUGAGCGAAAGCCAGGGGAGCAAACGGG